GCCGAAGUGGCGGAAGUGGUAGACGCGCAUGAUUCAGGGUCAUGUAGGAUCAAACCUGUAGGAGUUCGAGUCUCCUCUUCGGCACCA
rnacentral:tRNA from 1 species